rnacentral:misc_RNA from 1 species
GCUGUACUGUUAUGCGCGAUUUUCAUCGGUAUGGCGUGCCGUUUUAUGCACUUAAGCCCA